UUGACCUCNAAUCAGGUAGGACUACCCGCUGAACUUAGC
rnacentral:rRNA from 1 species